UAUUGGACAAUGGGCGCAAGCCUGAUCCAGCCAUGCCGCGUGCAGGAUGACGGUCCUAUGGAUUGUAAACUGCUUUUGUACAGGAAGAAACACUCCCUCGUGAGGGAGCUUGACGGUACUGUAAGAAUAAGGAUCGGCUAACUCCGUGCCAGCAGCCGCGGUAAUACGGAGGAUCCAAGCGAUAUCCGGAAUCAUUGGGUUUAAAGGGUCCGUAGGCGGUUUAAUAAGUCAGUGGUAAAGCCCAUCGCUCAACGGUGAACGGCCAUUGAUACUGUAAACUUAAUAUUAGGAAGAACUAGAAUAUGAGUGAGCGGUAAAUGCUAAGUACAUGAAUCCAAUUGCGAGGCAGGUUCUCAAAUGGUAGCGUGUGGCAAAUCGAUCUG
rnacentral:rRNA from 1 species